AUGCGGAAUCAGGAGUAGCGAGUCGUUGUCGCCAAGCAACGCUAAAAGUGGCAAAAACAAUAAACGCAAACAAUAACAGAUACGCUUUAGCAGCCUAAGCUGCUUUCGUCAAACCUAAGAAUCCCACGACUUGGGAUUUGGCGUCAAUUUAGUGGGGAACCGCGCCUAGCAAAGCUUUGAGCUUGGAACGGAAACUAUGAAGCUACUGAAGCUCAUAUCCUGUCAGUAGGAGAUGAGUAGAGGGAAUGUCAAAAUACUGACUGCACUCGGAGAAGCUUCUGUGGAAGGGUUUUCGGACGUGGGUUCGAUUCA
rnacentral:tmRNA from 2 species